rnacentral:rRNA from 1 species
UGGGGAAUCUUGGACAAUGGGGGCAACCCUGAUCCAGCCAUGCCGCGUGAGUGAUGAAGGCCUUAGGGUCGUAAAGCUCUUUCGCCUGUGAAGAUAAUGACGGUAGCAGGUAAAGAAACCCCGGCUAACUCCGUGCCAGCAGCCGCGGUAAUACGGAGGGGGUUAGCGUUGUUCGGAAUUACUGGGCGUAAAGCGCACGUAGGCGGACCAGAAAGUUGGGGGUGAAAUCCCGGGGGCUCAACCCCGGAACUGCCUCCAAAACUAUUGGUCUAGAGUUCGAGAGAGGUGAGUGGAAUUCCAAGUGUAGAGGUGAAAUUCGUAGAUAUUUGGAGGAACACCAGUGGCGAAGGCGGCUCACUGGCUCGAUACUGACGCUGAGGUGCGAAAAGUGUGGGGAGCAAAACAGGAUUAGAUACCCUGGUAGUCCACACCGUAAAACGAUGAAUGCCAGUCGUCGGGUAGCAUGCUAUUCGGUGACACACCUAACGGAUUAAGCAUUCCGCCUGGGGAGUACGG